rnacentral:lncRNA from 1 species
UGCACGAUCUCCUCCUCCUCUCCUCGCCAUGAGCAGCCCCACCACCUCCUCUCUCAAGGUAAAACUAACUCCAAUUAAUUAGGACUCUAGGUUUAUCCCUUUUGACCCCUUAUCUAUUCCCUUUUUAUAGGAGAUGGAUAACUAGAUUUAUCUCUAGCUCCCCCUAUAAAUACCCCCUAGGGCCUCGUCUUUUUCCCGUCCCGUUUCUCUCCCGUGCGCCCAAGCUCUGCUGCCGCUAGUCCUAGCCGUCACCGCCUUCCUGUGCGUCGGUUCAGAUCGUCGCCGCCGAGCCGAUCGGCCUCUCUCCAACCAUCGCUGCCUUGCGCCGUCCCUGUUCUGCCCGUGCCAA